rnacentral:rRNA from 1 species
CGUCAAAUCAUCAUGCCCCUUAUGUCCUGGGCUACACACGUAAUACAAUGGCGUUUAACAACGGGAGGCGAAGCCGCGAGGUGGAGCAAAUCCCCAAAAGGCGUCUCAGUUCGGAUCGCAGGCUGCAACCCGCCUGCGUGAAGUCGGAAUUGCUAGUAAUCGCGGAUCAGCAUGCCGCGGUGAAUACGUUCCCGGGCCUU